GGUUACUGCUAUCGAGGUUCGACUAAGCCAUGCGAGUCGAAUGUAGCAAUACAUGGCGUACUGCUCAGUAACACGUGGACAACCUACCCUUAGGCCUGGGAUAACCCCGGGAAACUGGGAAUAAUACCGGAUAUCUCGCGAAUGCUGGAAUGCGUCGCGAUAGAAAGCUCCGGCGCCUAAGGAUGGGUCUGCGGCCUAUCAGGUAGUAGUGGGUGUAACGUGCCUACUAGCCUACGACGGGUACGGGUUGUGAGAGCAAGAGCCCGGAGAUGGAUUCUGAGACACGAAUCCAGGCCCUACGGGGUGCAGCAGGCGCGAAAACUUUACAAUGCUGGAAACAGCGAUAAGGGGACCUCGAGUGCCAGGAUACAAUCCUGGCUGUCGUAAUGCCUAAAAAGCAUUGCAUACAAGGGCCGGGCAAGACCGGUGCCAGCCGCCGCGGUAACACCGGCGGCUCGAGUGGUAACCGCUAUUAUUGGGUCUAAAGGGUCUGUAGCCGGCUGACUAAGUCUCUUGGGAAAUCUGACAGCUUAACUGUCAGGCUUUCAGGAGAUACUGAUCGGCUCGAGACCGGGAGAGGUGAGAGGUACCUCAGGGGUAGGGGUGAAAUCUUGUAAUCCUUGAGGGACCACCAGUGGCGAAGGCGUCUCACCAGAACGGAUCUGACGGCAAGGGACGAAAGCUAGGGGCACGAACCGGAUUAGAUACCCGGGUAGUCCUAGCCGUAAACGAUACUCGCUAGGUGUCGGCCACGGUGCGACCGUGGUCGGUGCCGUAGGGAAGCCGUGAAGCGAGCCACCUGGGAAGUACGCCGCAAGGCUGAAACUUAA
rnacentral:rRNA from 1 species